GACGAACGCUGGCGGCGUGCUUAACACAUGCAAGUCGAACGGAAAGGCCCUUCGGGGUACUCGAGUGGCGAACGGGUGAGUAACACGUGGGUGAUCUGCCCUGCACUUUGGGAUAAGCCUGGGAAACUGGGUCUAAUACCGAAUAGGACCACGCGCUUCAUGGUGUGUGGUGGAAAGCUUUUGCGGUGUGGGAUGGGCCCGCGGCCUAUCAGCUUGUUGGUGGGGUAAUGGCCUACCAAGGCGACGACGGGUAGCCGGCCUGAGAGGGUGACCGGCCACACUGGGAUUGAGAUACGGCCCAGACUCCUACGGGAGGCAGCAGUGGGGAAUAUUGCACAAUGGGCGCAAGCCUGAUGCAGCGACGCCGCGUGAGGGAUGACGGCCUUCGGGUUGUAAACCUCUUUCAAUAGGGACGAAGCGCAAGUGACGGUACCUAUAGAAGAAGCACCGGCCAACUACGUG
rnacentral:rRNA from 1 species